CCCUUAGAUGUUCUGGGCUGCACGCGCGCUACACUGAAGCUAUCAACACGUUUUCCCUCCCUGAGAAGGGCGGGUAACCUUUUGAAUCAGCUUCGUGGUAGGGAUCGGGGCUUGCAAUUGUUCCCCGUGAACCAGGAAUUCCUAGUAGACGCGAGUCAUAAGCUCGCAUCGAUUAAGUCCCUGCCCUUUGUACACACCGCCCGUCGCUACUACCGAUUGAACGUUUUAGUGAGGCAUUUGGACCGACGCAUCUCAGUUUAACCGCUGGUUUGUGUUGGAGAGACUUCCAAACUUGAGCGUUUAGAGGAAGUAAAAGUCGUAACA
rnacentral:rRNA from 1 species